UGGGGAAGACCAGGGGGUGUUAGUGGGUGAUUUAGUGGGGAAGACGAGGGGGGUGUUAGUGGGUGAUUUAGUGUGGAAGACCAGGGGGCUGUCAGUGGCUGAUUUAGUGUGGAAGACCAGGGGUGUUAGUGGGUGAUUUAGUGGGGAAGACGAGGGAGGUGUUAGUGGGUGAUUUAGUGUGGAAGACCAGGGGGUUUUAGUGGGUGAUUUAGUGUGGAAGAUGAGGGGGAUGUUAUUGGCUGAUUUAGUGGGGAAGACCAGGGGGUGUUAGUGGGUGAUUUAGUGGGGAAGACGAGGGGGUGAUUUAGUGUGGAAGAUGAGGGGAGUGUUAGUGGGUGAUUUAGUGUGGAAGACCAGGGGG
ensembl:lncRNA